rnacentral:rRNA from 1 species
UCCUACGGGGCGCAGCAGUAGGGAAUUUUCGUCAAUGGGCGCAAGCCUGAACGAGCGAUGCCGCGUGAGUGAAGAAGGCCUUCGGGUCGUAAAGCUCUGUUGCGGGGGAAAAAAGGCAGCAUCAGGAAAUGGGUGCUGACUGAUGGUGCCCCGCCAGAAAGUCACGGCUAACUACGUGCCAGCAGCCGCGGUAAUACGUAGGAUGCGAGCGUUAUCCGGAUUUAUUGGGUUUAAAGGGUGCGUAGGCGGAUUUUUAAGUCAGCGGUAAAAUGUCCGGGCUCAACCCGGGCCGGCCGUUGAAACUG